rnacentral:rRNA from 1 species
UGAGGAAUAUUGGUCAAUGGACGAGAGUCUGAACCAGCCAAGUAGCGUGAAGGAUGAAGGUUCUAUGGAUUGUAAACUUCUUUUAUACGGGAAUAAACGGAUCCACGUGUGGAUUUUUGCAUGUACCGUAUGAAUAAGGAUCGGCUAACUCCGUGCCAGCAGCCGCGGUAAUACGGAGGAUCCGAGCGUUAUCCGGAUUUAUUGGGUUUAAAGGGAGCGUAGAUGGGUUGUUAAGUCAGUUGUGAAAGUUUGCGGCUCAACCGUAAAAUUGCAAUUGAUACUGGCAGUCUUGAGUACAGUUGAGGUAGGCGGAAUUCGUGGUGUAGCGGUGAAAUGCUUAGAUAUCACGAAGAACUCCGAUUGCGAAGGCAGCUUACUAACCUGUAACUGACAUUGAUGCUCGAAAGUGUGGGUAUCAAACAGGAUUAGAUACCCUGGUAGUCCACACGGUAAACGAUGAAUACUCGCUGUAGGCGAUAUACAGUCUGCGGCCAAGCGAAAGCAUUAAGUAUUCCACCUGGGGAGUACGCCGGCAACGGUGAAACUCAAAGGAAUUGACGGGGGCCCGCACAAGCGGAGGAACAUGUGGUUUAAUUCGAUGAUACGCGAGGAACCUUACCCGGGCUUAAAUUGCAACCGAAUAUGGCGGAAACGCCAUAGCUAGCAAUAGCGGUUGUGAAGGUGCUGCAUGGUUGUCGUCAGCUCGUGCCGUGAGGUGUCGGCUUAAGUGCCAUAACGAGCGCAACCCUUGCCGAUAGUUACUAACAGGUUAUGCUGAGGACUCUGUCGGGACUGCCAUCGUAAGAUGUGAGGAAGGUGGGGAUGACGUCAAAUCAGCACGGCCCUUACGUCCGGGGCUACACACGUGUUACAAUGGGGGGUACAGAGGGCUGCUACCACGCAAGUGGAUGCCAAUCCCAAAAACCUCUCUCAGUUCGGAUUGAAGUCUGCAACCCGACUUCAUGAAGCUGGAUUCGCUAGUAAUCGCGCAUCAGCCACGGCGCGGUGAAUACGUUCCC